rnacentral:rRNA from 1 species
AUUGAACGCUGGCGGCAUGCCUUACACAUGCAAGUCGAACGGCAGCGGACCUUCGGGUGCCGGCGAGUGGCGAACGGGUGAGUAAUAUAUCGGAACGUACCUUUCAGUGGGGGAUAACGUAGCGAAAGUUACGCUAAUACCGCAUAUUCUGUGAGCAGGAAAGCAGGGGAUCGCAAGACCUUGCGCUGAUUGAGCGGCCGAUAUCAGAUUAGCUAGUUGGUGAGGUAAAGGCUCACCAAGGCGACGAUCUGUANCGGGUCUGAGAGGAUGAUCCGCCACACUGGUACUGAGACACGGUCCAGACUCCUACGGGAGGCAGCAGUGGGGAAUUUUGGACAAUGGGCGCAAGCCUGAUCCAGCCAUGCCGCGUGAGUGAAGAAGGCCUUCGGGUUGUAAAGCUCUUUCGGCCGGGAAGAAAUCGCACAGGUUAAUACCCUGUGUGGAUGACGGUACCGGAAUAAGAAGCACCGGCUAACUACGUG